rnacentral:rRNA from 1 species
UAAAAAGCUCGUAGUUGGAUUUCUGCAGGAGUGCCUGUUGUCCGCCCACGUUGCGUGUGCAGCGGCGCCCCUGCAUCCUUCGGUUACCUCCGCUCGGCAUUCACUUGCCGGCGGUUGGCUCCGAAUAUUUACCUUGGNAGAAAAAUUAGAGUGUUUCAGGCAGGCUUAGCCGGAAUACAUUAGCAUGGAAUAAUAGAAUAGGACUACGGUCUCGUUGUUGGUUUGAGGGACUGGAGUAAUGAUUAAUAGGGAUAGUUGGGGGCAUUAGUAUUUAAUUGUCAGAGGUGAAAUUCUCAGAUUAACUAAAGACUAACUUAUGCGAAAGCAUUUGCCAGGAUGU